CCUACGGGUGGCUGCAGUGGGGAAUAUUGGACAAUGGGCGAAAGCCUGAUCCAGCCAUGCCGCGUGUGUGAAGAAGGCCUUCGGGUUGUAAAGCACUUUCAGUGGGGAAGAAAGCCUUGGGGCUAAUACCCUCGAGGAAGGACAUCACCCACAGAAGAAGCACCGGCUAACAUCCGUGCCAGCAGCCGCGGUAAUACGGAGGGUGCGAGCGUUAAUCGGAAUUACUGGGCGUAAAGCGCGCGUAGGCGGUCUGAUAAGCCGGUUGUGAAAGCCCCGGGCUCAACCUGGGAACGGCAUCCGGAACUGUCAGGCUAGAGUGCAGGAGAGGAAGGUAGAAUUCCCGGUGUAGCGGUGAAAUGCGUAGAGAUCGGGAGGAAUACCAGUGGCGAAGGCGGCCUUCUGGACUGACACUGACGCUGAGGUGCGAAAGCGUGGGUAGCAAACAGGAUUAGAUCCCCCAGUAGUC
rnacentral:rRNA from 1 species